UGUGGGAGGGGGCUUGCCCCCGAUAGCGGUGUGUCAGCUAAUCAAAAGUCGACUGGCACCCUGUCAUCGGGGGCAAGCCCCCUCCCACA
rnacentral:misc_RNA from 1 species